rfam:Caenorhabditis japonica strain DF5081 Contig9482.1, whole genome shotgun sequence.
GAACAGACCAAACGUUUUCGGACGUUGUUUGUUGACUCUGAAUACCGUCGUUUACUGUCAGUUUCGACUGACUCUAUCCGAGAAGGGUGUCUGCCCUUUCAACUAGAUGGUAAUCUAUUGGACUACCAUGGUUGUUACGGGUAACGGAGAAUUAGGGUUCGACUCCGGAGAGGGAGCCUUAGAAACGGCUACCACGUCCAAGGAAGGCAGCAGGCGCGAAACUUAUCCACUGUUGAGUAUGAGAUAGUGACUAAAAAUAUAAAGACUCAUCCUUUUGGAUGAGUUAUUUCAAUGAGUUGAAUAUAAAUUAUUCUUCGAGUAGCAAGGAGAGGGCAAGUCUGGUGCCAGCAGCCGCGGUAAUUCCAGCUCUCCUAGUGUAUCUCGUUAUUGCUGCGGUUAAAAAGCUCGUAGUUGGAUCUAGGUUACGUGCCGCAGUUCGCAAUUUGCGUUAACUGUGGUCGUGACUUCUAAUUUGCUGGUUUGAGGUUGGGUUCGCCCUUCAACUGCCAGCAGGUUUACCUUGAAUAAAUCAGAGUGCUCAAUACAGGCGCUUGCUUGAAUAGCUCAUCAUGGAAUAAUGAAACAGGACUUCGGUUCUUUUUGUUGGUUCUAGAAUUGAUCUAAUGGUUAAGAGGGACAAACCGGGGGCAUUCGUAUCAUUACGCGAGAGGUGAAAUUCGUGGACCGUAGUGAGACGCCCAAUAGCGAAAGCAUUUGCCAAGAAUGUCUUCAUUAAUCAAGAACGAAAGUCAGAGGUUCGAAGGCGAUUAGAUACCGCCCUAGUUCUGACCGUAAACGAUGCCAUCUCGCGAUUCGGAGGGUUCAUGCCCUACCGAGGAGCUACCCGGAAACGAAAGUCUUUCGGUUCCGGGGGUAGUAUGGUUGCAAAGCUGAAAACUUAAAGAAAUUGACGGAAGGGCACCACAAGGCGUGGAGCUUGCGGCUUAAUUUGACUCAACACGGGAAAACUCACCCGGGUCCGGACACUAUUAGGACUGACAGAUUGAAAGCUCUUUCUCGAUUUGGUGGU